AACCAAACCAAUUAGACCCUGAUCCAGCGCUAGAACCAAGCCCUUAUUGUUAAGAGCCAUAAGAACGUAGGUCCUCCUUUUAAUAAUUCUUGUUUAGACGUCAUCCAUGGACUUGAAUGACGUGGCGCAUGUACAUACAUUGGUUAUCAACGUCGGUUCAAAACGAUUCUCGUCAAUUCCGCCACAUCAACCACCGUCUUUACCUAACAGGACGACCGCCGACAACUACUCUUUUAGCUCAUAAAACUCAACGAAUCAUCAUCACCACCCACCGCGCGAUUGUUGUCAGUUUGUCGCUGAUUUAUUAAAUUCUAACGCCAAUCAGAUCAUGACAGAAGACAGGUCUCCUAGGGUUUCCUCCGACCACUCCGCCCACUCCACUGACGCCUUUCAAACUAAGCAAAGGAAAAAGAGGAAGUGGGAUCAGCCUGCGGAGUCAUUAGUUAGCUACCCAUUGGGCAAUAUGGGAUCCCUUGUUGAUGUUCCACUGCCGAGCAUGGCUCCAUCUUUCUCUGCUGCUGCUGCAGCCUUUAUGAAAAAUCCACCAGCGGCUAGUGGUGUAGCCGUUCCGCCGAUGGCACUUCAGGGCCCUUCCAUGCUGAAGUUAAAUCAGCCUAAGAUUCAAGAUGAGUUAAUAAUUGCACGAGAAAUCGUUAUAAAUGAUGCUGAAUCUUCUGUUCGCUACAAACUUACUAGACGCCAAACACAGGAAGAGAUUCAGAAAUGCACUGGUGCUGUGGUAAUAACUAGGGGUAAAUUUCGUCCACCAAAUACACCACCUGAUGGAGAAAAGCCAUUAUAUCUUCACAUAUCUUCAGGGGCUCAUUUGAAGGAGACGGCAGAAAGAAUUUUGGCGGUUGAUCGUGCAGCUGCCAUGGUUGAAGAAAUGCUGAAACAGGGUCAGGAUAGUUUUCCCACUUUGCAAAGUAUGAGCAACGGCGUGAAGGAACUCAGCACAUGUGUUUUUUUGAGCUUUGAUCCUGAUCCAUCAUUGAAUAUUGCUGCUCGAAUUCGUGGACCAAAUGACCAGUAUAUAAAUCACAUUAUGAAUGAAACAGGAGCAACUGUCUUAUUGAGAGGGCGUGGUUCUGGUAACUUUGAAGGCCUGCACAGCGAAGGUGUGCAUCAACCAUUGCAUUUAUUCUUGUCCAGUAGCAAUUCUAAAAGUCUGGAAGAUGCAAAGCGUUUGGCUGAAAAUCUUUUGGAUACAAUCAGUGUAGAGUGUGGUGCCUCCAGGGUUUCAUCAUUCAAAGUCUAUAAUGCAGUUCCACCCCCACAGCAGUUAUUGUCUGGCACUCAGAGUUGUGGGAAUGAGCAAAUACUAAAUGCAAGUUCUGGUUCUGGAUUGACAUCAACAGUUAGCAUUGAACCAGUUCCAGCAGUUUCUUCUGUUACCACCCCUGGGGUUGCUACUCUCUCUUCUCAAGACACUCUUGUACAGGCUGGAGGAAUGAUGAACUGUGCCCAGCCCCAACAAAAUAUGGUUGGUUACCCGCAGCCUGUAUUAACUGGAGGAACAAGCUAUAGUGGAUAUGAAGGGAUAUAUCCUCAGGCAACACCUUUACAGCAGGUUGCCCUAGCCCUCAGACAUUCAUCUUCUCCCAUCACCUCAGCAGUUGCUCCAACAUCAGUUGCAGAAUCAACAACAAAAUCAAAUAUUAGUUCCACAUCUGAGAAGGAGAAACGGCCUCCACAGAAGAGAAAGUUUCAGGAGUUACCAGUUGGUGCCAAGGGCCCUGUAAAACUCAACCAGUAACUGAGGCUGAGAGGGAGAGGAAGUGGAAGAUGGUGGAUUUGGAACGUAAAGAUACAUAAACUUGUAUGAUAGUAUUAAAUGAUUGUUAAAAGGGAAAAUAAUAAUAGCUAGUAAAAUUAUUAUUUAGAGUGAGAGAAAGAGGGAGUAAUAGUUGGAUCCAGAAAGGUAAUUAUAUCAGCACCCUCUGCCACUAUUACAUGAAAAAUAUUUUAGGUUCUGGUGUAGAGUUAUGAUUCUGAAUUAUUUAUGCACAUUUUGUUUAAUACUGGAUGAAAUUUUUUUUACCAAUUUUAUUUAUAACCUAACAGAUGGAUGCAUCAGUGAGUCUAUGUGCAUCUGUAAGCGCAUUUGCUUUUUUGAUUUCUUUACUUUUUUAUCAAUUAUCAUCCUGAAAAAUAUUAAUCAAGAGAACAGCUACAUUAGGGAAUACUUUUGAUGCAAUGCUGUUUUGCAUUUAUUCUCCCUUAAAUUGCAUUCAUAUUUUUUUUGCUGACAUUCUCUGCUUAAUGUUCCAGGUAUUUUCUUUGACCUUCUAAGAAGCUAACAGGCUGAUUCCGUACCUCUGUUUGGGCCAUUGGUUUGUAUGUUUAACAGGAUUUAUAGUUUUGGAGCCUGUACUGAUGAUGGGUCUUUGCUGCUUCAGAGCCUUGAUGAGGGGCUAAUUCAAGAUUUUUAUUUCUGUUGAUUGAUUUAUUUCUGCUGCUGCCAGUUCCCUUGUUUUUUCCUUUUCUUUUGAAUGCGGGCAUGAUGAUAGUUGCAUAAUCAGUUGCAAGAUUGCAUGCUAUGCUUGUCAACCACCAGAAGUCAACGAACUGACCACACUGGAAACAUUGGUUUUUUGAACAACUUUUUACAAAUACACACUGAACUUAAAUAUUUUUAUCAAGUUAUGAUUAAAAAAAUAUUGCAAUAUGUCUCAAUCUUAGAUCUCAGAAAUAGGGUUCUUCCCUACCUAAUUCUUUUGGUACCCCUAUACUUGAUUUGAAAAUGUUAAGCUUAUACUCUGACCUAUUUGACCCAGAAUCCUAUAUGCUAACUGCACAAUCAAGUUAAACAGCAUUUAGUGAUUUGAAUAUUCUCCCCAUGUGUAAAAGUUCUCUCUACAUUAGUCCCACCCUCAUCAUGUUUCCAUGGUUUUAAUUUUUCACUGCUUUGUGGACAUUUUAUAUAUUCAAGUCCUAUUGUCAUUGAGAAAUUAGGAUUGGGUUUUCUUUAUAUAACUUGUUGCAGGGACCAGAACUAUACCCAAGUGAACUAUCAGGCAAUGUGGAGGUGAGAAAUGUAUCAAAUAUGCCAGCUCCAAAAAGGUUGGUCCAGUCAUCAGUCAAUGGAAUGCCCCCUCCACCUCCAAGAAUCAUGCCCCCCCCACCACCACCGAAAUUUACUUCAUCAACACCUCUUCCUAAAUUUCAGGACAAGGGCAGAAGUUUGAAUAAAACACAUUUUGAAAAUAUCCCUGAUACUCUGGUCAAGCUGAUGGAAUAUGGUGAAGAUGAUGAUGACCUGGAGGAAACUGGCAAAGAAUCCCUUACCUCUGACUCCUCAUUUAGUCUCAACUCAGACAAAGUAAAUGUUAGAAAACCGUUUUGGGCUUUAUGAUUUAUUCAGCUGGUGGAUUAUUGGAAGCAGUGGUGCUUUUUCAGGGCUUUGUUCUAAUCAUAUAUAAGUGGAGCUUGUGUGUGUAUAAUGUGGGAUGGGAGCAUGUAACAAAGCCAUGCGUCGUAUAAUUAUUUUGUUGCUAGAUGACAUUCCUAGGGUUUGAAUGUUACAGUUUUGGCUGUAACUGUGGUUUAGGAAGGCGUGGAGGAUUGUUGUAUUGUCUUGGCUUAGGUGUACAUUAGUAGUUUUUCCAUUAUCUUGCUGUGAGGACUUGGGAGUAUAGUUUUUUAAUCAUCUGCCAACUUGCUUGGUGACCAAAGUUUUGGCAGAAGAUUCAGGAAUGAUAGUCUUGCUGUGAAAAUAUCUUAAGCAAAAUCACAGUAGUCUGUUUAGAAUUUUGAGUUUAAUUCAAUGCGGACUAAUACUAGCUAUCCUCUUUUACAA